GAUGAAGAACGUAGUGAAAUGCGAUACUUGGUGUGAAUUGCAGAAUCCCGUGAACCAUCGAGUCUUUGAACGCAAGUUGCGCCCGAAGCCAUCAGGUUGAGGGCACGUCUGCCUGGGCGUCACAUAUCGUUGCCCAAUGCCUAUUGCAGUGCAAUAGGAAUUUCUAGGGCGAAUGAUGGCUUCCCGUGAGCGUUGUUGCCUCGCGGUUGGUUGAAAAUCGAGUCCUUGGUAGGGUGUGCCAUGGUAGAUGGUGGUCGAGUUAGAACGAUACCGAUCAUGUGCAUGCUCCCCAAAAUAUGGCCUCUAUGACCCACACGCGUCUUUUGACGCUCAUGACGAGACAUCAGGUCAGGCGGGGCUACCCGCUGAAUUUAAGCAUAUCAAUAAGCGGAGGA
rnacentral:misc_RNA from 1 species